GCUGAACCUUCUUUGCUGUAAUUUUCAGACAUACUCUCUUUCUUCCUGGAUACUAUACUUAGAGUUUUGAUCUCAUCAACAUGGAUUUUCCCACUUUGGAGAUCACAACUCAUCCAUGUCUGUUUCACUUCAGAUUGUACCCAGCAAGAGCAACAUUCACCUAACAGAGCCUGUCACUUUCAAUUUGACCAAGACACUGGAGUAAGGAAGGGAAAGGACCAUUCAGGUGUGGAAAUGAUGUCUUUACGUAAGAUAAUUCAUGUCUUCUUUUUUUCCCUCUGCCUCUUUGUCCCUCAUAGAGUUCUAAUUUUGCUUCCCUGUUGUUGCAAGGAGAGGAGGGGCACAGGGACAUGGGAGGUAUUCCUAAAUUGAUUUCUGAGUGGUUUUGCUGAGAUCACUGAUGCCUCCCCAAUGCCUGGUUUUUAAAAAAGAAACAUGGUGAAUGUGGGGGCAUUGGAAUGAUUUCUUCCGAGAGCUCUGACUCUAUUACUGUUGAAUCAUUUGUGUCCUUGCAAUUAUUUGCAUGCUGGGAUGCCUGUGAAUAGUACCAUCUUCAUAUUUCUCCGCUGAUGUAGGGCCUGUAAUAAAAGUAGGCCUCAGAGUUUCUAAUUACAAUUUUUCAUUUGUCCAGGCAAAGAUGGAAUGAAUUUUAAAAUGUGAGUGUGGCUGAUCAAAAUUAAGAGGACUCUUGAGAAGCAAAUCAGCUAAAUUUAAAAAUUGUAAGCCUAGACAUUUCCCAGGGUACUUUCUUUUGGACAAAAUAAUUCUCCAAAGCAUAAGCACCAGAGAAUAUAAGAUCUUUUUCUGUUAUCAUUGCAUUUGAACUUGACAUUAGAUAUUUUAAAUAAAGCUUGAUAUAUAUA